rnacentral:rRNA from 1 species
UGGGGUAUUUUGCACAAUGGGGGAAACCCUGAUGCAGCGACGCCGCGUGAUUUAGAAGGCCUUCGGGUUGUAAAAAUCUUUUCUAUGGGAAGAAAAUGACAGUACCAUAGGAAUAAGGACCGGCUAAUUACGUGCCAGCAGCCGCGGUAAUACGUAAGGUCCGAGCGUUGUCCGGAAUCAUUGGGCGUAAAGGGUACGUAGGCGGGUAAGCAAGUUAGAAGUGAAAUCCUAUAGCUCAACUAUAGUAAGCUUUUAAAACUGCUCAUCUUGAGGUAUGGAAGGGAAAGUGGAAUUCCUAGUGUAGCGGUGAAAUGCGCAGAUAUUAGGGGGAAUACCGGUGGCGAAGGCGACUUUCUGGCCAUAACCUGACGCUGAGGUACGAAAGCGUGGGUAGCAAACAGG